AUGUAAUAAAAUCGAAGAGGGCAUGAAAAGUAAAGACUUUCACCAAAGGCUUGGAAUUCUUCAAGAUAGUAGCUGACCUUGCUGAAAGUGAAGGUGAAAAACAUUACAAGAUGAGCGAACAAAUUAGAGAAGAAUUUUUUUUGGUUUUCAAAGGAUGAGAAGAAUAUGUACUAUAUUAGAGAAUAUUUUUGCUUUCACAGUAUAAUAUUUUGAUGUCUUUUGUAAUUUUUUUAAUAGCUUCUACCUGGUAUUACAUGUAAUGGAUAAAUUAUACCAUAUUUUGAUUUGUCUUGUUUGGAUUAAAAACAUAUAUAGUUUAUAAUGUAAAUUUUAUGAUUUAGAUUUA